rnacentral:rRNA from 1 species
UACGUAGGGGGCAAGCGUUGUCCGGAUUUAUUGGGCGUAAAGAGCGUGUAGGCGGCCAGGUAGGUCUGCUGUGAAAACUCGAGGCUUAACCUCGAGCUGUCGGCGGAAACCAUCCGGCUAGAGUCCGGAAGAGGAGAAUGGAAUUCCCGGUGUAGCAGUGAAAUGCGUAGAUAUCGUGAGGAACACCAGAGGCGAAGGCGGCUACCUGGACAAUUGCUGACGCUCAGGCACGAAAGCGUGGGGAGCAAAAGGG